CCUACGGGCGACAGCAGUGAGGAAUAUUGGUCAAUGGACGCAAGUCUGAACCAGCCAUGCCGCGUGCAGGAAGACGGCUCUAUGAGUUGUAAACUGCUUUUGUACGAGGGUAAACGCAGAUACGCGUAUCUUUCUGAAAGUAUCGUACGAAUAAGGAUCGGCUAACUCCGUGCCAGCAGCCGCGGUAAUACGGAGGAUUCAAGCGUUAUCCGGAUUUAUUGGGUUUAAAGGGUGCGUAGGCGGUCGGCUAAGUUAGAGGUGAAAUCCCGCGGCUCAACUUCGGAAUUGCCUCUGAUACUGUUCGGCUAGAGCGUAGUUGCGGUAGGCGGAAUGUAUGGUGUAGCGGUGAAAUGCUUAGAGAUCAUACAGAACACCGAUUGCGAAGGCAGCUUACCAAGCUACUUCUGACGUUGAGGCACGAAAGCGUGGGGAGCAAACAGGAUUAGAUACCCCGGUAGUC
rnacentral:rRNA from 1 species